CCAUCUCUUAACCUCCGCUGCAAUGGUGCCAACUCAGGAACUUAGAAGCGACACAGAUAUCCACACGUUGUCUGAUACUCCAAUCCCACUGUCAUGUCAUACCAUCUGCACUUACAUGGUUCUACAUAUCUGCAUAAACUACAGGACCAAGAAGUCAGUCAUGGAAAAAGGUGAUGGAUGAGUAAAGAAAAGGCCUGCGGAUGGAGUGGAGAUGGCUCAGUGGCUGAGAGCAUGCCUCUAGCUGAAGAAUACAGUUCAAUUCCCACACCCACCUCCGGCAAACACACAUCCAGCUCCCGGGGAUCUGAUGCUCUCAUCUAGUCUCUGUGGGCACGCACAUGCACACAUGUGUGCACAUCCAUGAAUAAAAUAAAAAUGUUAAGCAGUGGCACACC
rnacentral:lncRNA from 1 species